rnacentral:antisense_RNA from 1 species
CUUCACCGACCCCAACAACAGCGGCCGCUCACGGUCCCGGCCAUAUGUCGCCAGCAGCGCCUGCGCCUC